rnacentral:lncRNA from 1 species
AUGAACAAAGCUAGUGGAGGUGAUGGCAUUCCAGUUGAGCUGUUUCAAAUCCUGAAAGAUGAUGCUGUGAAAGUGCUGCACUCAAUAUGCCAGCAAAUUUGGAAAACUCAGCAGUGGCCACAGGACUGGAAAAGGUCAGUUUUCAUUCCAAUUCCAAAGAAAGGCAAUGCCAAAGAAUGCUCAAACGACCACACAAUUGUACUCAUCUCACAUGCUAGUAAAGUAAUGCUCAAAAUUCUCCAAGCCAGACUUCAGCAAUGCGUGAACCAUGAACUCUCUGAUGUUCAAGCUGGUUUUAGAAAAGGCAGAGGAACCAGAGAUCAAAUUGCCAACAUCUGCUGGAUCAUGGAAAAAGCAAGAGAGUUCCAGAAAAACAUCUAUUUCUGCUUUAUUGACUAUGCCAAAGCCUUUGCCUGUGUGGAUCACAAGAAACUGUGGAAAAUUCUGAAAGAGAUGGGAAUACCAGACCACCUAACCUGCCUCUUGAGAAACCUGUAUGCAGGUCAGGAAGCAACAGUUAGAACUGGACAUGGGACAACAGACUGGUUCCAAAUAGGAAAAGGAGUACGUCAAGGCUGUAUAUUGUCACCCUGCUUAUUUAACUUCUAUGCAGAGUACAUCAUGAGAAACACUGGACUGAAAGAAACACAAGCUGGAAUCAAGAUUGCCAGGAGAAAUAUCAAUCACCUCAGAUAUGCAGAUGACACCACCCUUAUGGCAGAAAGUGAAGAGGAACUAAAAAGCCUCUUGAUGAAAGUGAAAGAGGAGAGUGGAAAAGUUGGCUUAAAGCUCAACAUUCAGAAAACGAAGAUCAUAGCAUCCAGUCCCAUCACUUCAUGGGAAAUAGAUGGGGAAACAGUGGAAACAGUGUCAGACUUUAUUUUUUGGGGUUCCAAAAUCACUACAGAUGGUGAUUGCAGCCAUGAAAUUAGAAGACACUUACUCCUUGGAAGAAAAGUCAUGACCAACCUAGAUAGCAUAUUCAAAAGCAGAGACAUUACUUUGCUGACUAAGGUCCAUCUAGUCAAGGCUUUGGUUUUUCCUGUGGUCAUGUAUGGAUGUGAGAGUUGGACUGUGAAGAAGGCUGAGUGCUGA